GAAGCAGCAGGCUCUAUAGAAACCUGACUGGACACAUCGCUAAGCGAGCUGAAGAAACAUAAGUAACAGCAGACAAUGUCUACUCAUUUACAUGGCCAAGUGAGAAUUUGAACCCAGAUCUCCUGAGUCUUGUUCCAUCACUCUGUCUACUGCACUGCACUUGGCAUUGUAACUCAUCACCUGGAAUCUGAUCAGUGUCCACAUAAGACUGUCAAAGGUGAGUCACAGGGCAACAGACAAACUGAACGCUGUGCCUGAAACUACAAAACGAGAAGAAGCAGAGAAAGGAAAAUACAAACCCGGGAAGAAAUGUUAUGAAACGGUCUCCUCAGGAAAAUUCUCUCUUUGUCUCUCUAGCUC